UGGAUCCAGACUUUGAUUCUGGCUCAGGAUGAACGCUAGCUACAGGCUUAACACAUGCAAGUCGAGGGGCAGCAUGAACUUAGCUUGCUAAGUUUGAUGGCGACCGGCGCACGGGUGAGUAACACGUAUCCAACCUUCCGUUUACUCAGGGAUAGCCUUUCGAAAGAAAGAUUAAUACCUGAUAGUAUGGUGAGAUUGCAUGAUAACACCAUUAAAGAUUCAUUGGUAAACGAUGGGGAUGCGUUCCAUUAGGUAGUAGGCGGGGUAACGGCCCACCUAGCCAACGAUGGAUAGGGGUUCUGAGAGGAAGGUCCCCCACAUUGGAACUGAGACACGGUCCAAACUCCUACGGGAGGCAGCAGUGAGGAAUAUUGGUCAAUGGGCGCGAGCCUGAACCAGCCGAGUAGCGUGAAGGAUGAAGGUCCUACGGAUUGUAAACUUCUUUUAUAAGGGAAUAAAGUCGCCUACGUGUAGGCGUUUGUAUGUACCUUAUGAAUAAGCAUCGGCUAACUCCGUGCCAGCAGCCGCGGUAAUACGGAGGAUGCGAGCGUUAUCCGGAUUUAUUGGGUUUAAAGGGAGCGUAGACGGAGGAUUAAGUCAGUUGUGAAAGUUUGCGGCUCAACCGUAAAAUUGCAGUUGAUACUGGUCCCCUUGAGUGCAGUUGAGGCAGGCGGAAUUCGUGGUGUAGCGGUGAAAUGCUUAGAUAUCACGAAGAACCCCGAUUGCGAAGGCAGCCUGCUAAGCUGUAACUGACGUUGAUGCUCGAAAGUGUGGGUAUCAAACAGGAUUAGAUACCCUGGUAGUCCACACGGUAAACGAUGGAUACUCGCUGUUGGCGAUAUACUGUCAGCGGCCAAGCGAAAGCAUUAAGUAUCCCACCUGGGGAGUACGCCGGCAACGGUGCAACUCAAAUGAAUUGACGGA
rnacentral:rRNA from 1 species